rnacentral:lncRNA from 1 species
CCAGGUAGACUAUUAAACUAUUCUCCCAAACUGAAGUAUUUCUCCUUUUUUUCUUGAUUUCAAGCACAGACUGUAUAUCGGGGCAGGUGCUUUCCUCCAGCUUGGAGUGUGUCUGGAUCCUUGGCUUGGGUCAUAUCUCCAUCCUCAUUCUGUUUUAACCUGAGGUUUUCCCACUGCAGUGAGAGGAAGAGGCACCAGGAAACUGCUCCACUUUCUCCCACACGUGGCUGGAGGUGGGUGACGACUUGGCAGAUCUUUGGCUCGGGAUCAGAGGCAGCAGCCUGGGAGAGGAGGACUCCUGUGCCGGGAGGAUGUAGCAUCUCCUCCUCUUCUCUUUGUGCAAGGGAGGCCUCGGACACCAGUCUCACCUCAUCGCGGUUUGUAGGAAGGCUUAAGUUUCUGAAGUGCUCUGGCAAAAAUAGAAGGCAAGGUGAAGUUAUUUUUAUUUUUGUUUAA